rnacentral:tRNA from 1 species
GGGCCCGUAGCUCAGCUAGGAUAGAGCGGCGGCCUGCGGAGCCGCAGGUCCCGGGUUCGAGUCCCGGCGGGCCCG